AUGCACACAGCACCUCACCGGCCAACACACCCACCCUUCCCCCCUCUCCUGACAGCUGCUGGAGCCCACACAGGCACACACACACACACUGGCACGCAUGCACACGCGCGCACACAUACACACACACACCCCCAGCAGUGGCCCUGGCCCCGACAGCUGCAGUCUGAGAUUUAUGCUGCCUCCCCAGGCUGCCUCCCUCCCUGUCCCUGCCAGCGCCUCUACAAGGUCCCCACCCCCCAAUUCUGGUCCUACCAACCCCACCGCCGACAAGCCCCACCCUGGUCCCCCUCCCCCCGAGCAGACAUCCACCCCGUCAACCCCUCUUACCAGCUAGAGGAUGAAUGCCUUGACCCCGCAGCACCCCGUGAAAGAGGGGGGUCAGGGACCCCGAUUCGAAAAGAUGGGGGCAGAGAGGUGCAGUGUGGCACUGGCUGGCACAGCGUCCACCAUCGAGUCUCUGCACCACCCCCAGAAAUGCUCACCUCACCGACCGUCCUCCGUGUCCUCCCACCGCCUCCGCCCACCGCCGCCACCACCACCCUCGCGCAGGGUGGUCCCCUGGGGGUCUCACGGGGAUCCCCAGACCCAGGAGACACUGGGGGUGGCUCUCCCGGUUUCAUGCCCCCUUCCGUGUCCCCCUCCAAGUCCCACCCCCACUGGCGGAGGGGGUGCCCUCCGGCUCCAGCCCCGACUCCCACCGUCUCGCCGGCCGCGGCGCCCGGAUCCGGAGGAAUUCACUUACCCCAACCUCAGCCCCAGCCGGGUUCCGGGCCAAGCGCCGCCUCCGGGCAGCGGCGGCCGCGGGGCCUGCGCGUGAGUGUGAGUGUGUGUGAGCGCGGGUGUGGGUGCGGGGUGCGCGGCGCCCGGCCGUGGCCCCGUGCGUGGCGCGUGGCCGUGGGGUGGCCCGCGUGUGUCUGUGUGUGUGUCUGGGAGCGCGCCUGUGCGCGCAGACGCCGCCGCCCCCUCCUCCCCGCAGCCGCGCCUCUGCCUGGGCUGGGAGGGCGCCCGGGAGGGGCCGAGCGGCGCGCGUCCGGGGCCGCGGUGGGCCGUGUCCGUCUGUCCGUCUGUCCGUCCCCCGCCCGCGCCGGGCGCCCUCCGCAGGCCUUUCCGCAGCGAGCCCGCUCCCGCCCCCGAGCCGGCCGCACGCUCCAUGGACACACGCGCGCUCGCAGACACACGCCCGCAGGGCGGGGGCCGCGCCUGGCGCCGCCGCUGCAGCUGCAGCUGCAGCGCCCGAGGAGGCAGCGGCGGCCCCGCGGAGGCCCGAACCCCGGCCGGGGGCGCCCCCGUACCCCCACCCGGCCCCCUGCGCGGCUCACCCUGCGGGAUCCGGGUCUGGGUCCAGCCCGACAGCGCAUUCAACAGCUGGGGGCAAACUUGCGGCGGGGCCGCCAAAGGUGCGCCCUCCCCCUGGACUCCACCUCCGCGGAUGGGCCCCCUCUCCACCUGGUACCUCCUGGCCCCGCCGCCUGCGCCCUGCUGGUUGGUACCACGCUCAACCGCUGGCGGCUGGGGAAGUGCGGCUGCUGCGUUCCCAUUUUACAGGCCAGACAACUGAGGCUCGGAAGGAGGAGUGACUCCUCCAAGGUUACACAGCGAGCCUGCAGACAGGAUUAG
rnacentral:lncRNA from 13 species